rnacentral:rRNA from 1 species
GAUGAACGCUAGCUACAGGCUUAACACAUGCAAGUCGAGGGGCAGCAUGGUCUUAGCUUGCUAAGGCCGAUGGCGACCGGCGCACGGGUGAGUAACACGUAUCCAACCUGCCGUCUACCCUUGGACAGCCUUCUGAAAGGAAGAUUAAUACAAGAUGGCAUCAUGAGUCCACAUGUUCACAUGAUUAAAGGUAUUCCGGUAGACGAUGGGGAUGCGUUCCAUUAGAUAGUAGGCGGGGUAACGGCCCACCUAGUCUUCGAUGGAUAGGGGUUCUGAGAGGAAGGUCCCCCACAUUGGAACUGAGACACGGUCCAAACUCCUACGGGAGGCAGCAGUGAGGAAUAUUGGUCAAUGGGCGAGAGCCUGAACCAGCCAAGUAGCGUGAAGGAUGACUGCCCUAUGGGUUGUAAACUUCUUUUAUAAAGGAAUAAAGUCGGGUAUGGAUACCCGUUUGCAUGUACUUUAUGAAUAAGGAUCGGCUAACUCCGUGCCAGCAGCCGCGGUAAUACGGAGGAUCCGAGCGUUAUCCGGAUUUAUUGGGUUUAAAGGGAGCGUAGAUGGAUGUUUAAGUCAGUUGUGAAAGUUUGCGGCUCAACCGUAAAAUUGCAGUUGAUACUGGAUAUCUUGAGUGCAGUUGAGGCAGGCGGAAUUCGUGGUGUAGCGGUGAAAUGCUUAGAUAUCACGAAGAACUCCAAUUGCGAAGGCAGCCUGCUAAGCUGCAACUGACAUUGAGGCUCGAAAGUGUGGGUAUCAA